rnacentral:rRNA from 1 species
CACGUAGGGCGCAAGCGUUGUCCGGAAUUAUUGGGCGUAAAGAGCUCGUAGGCGGCUUGUCGCGUCGGCUGUGAAAACCUGGGGCUCAACCCCGGGCCUGCAGCCGAUACGGGCAAGCUAGAAUUCGGUAGGGGAGACUGGAAUUCCUGGUGUAGCGGUGAAAUGCGCAGAUAUCAGGAAGAACACCAAUGGCGAAGGCAGCUCUCUGGGACGGUACUGACACUGAGACGCGAAAGCGUGGGGAGCGAACAGG